UACGUAGGGAGCAAGCGUUGUCCGGAAUCAUUGGGCGUAAAGCGUACGUAGGCGGCCCGGUAAGUCCGUUGUAAAAGUCAAAGGCUCAACCUUUGAAAGCCGAUGGAUACUGCCGGGCUAGAGUCCGGAAGAGGCGAGUGGAAUUCCUGGUGUAGCGGUGGAAUGCGCAGAUAUCAGGAGGAACACCUGUGGUGUAGACAGCUUACUGGACCACUUCUGACGCUGAGACACGAAAGCGUGGGUAGCAAACAGG
rnacentral:rRNA from 1 species